UAAAAGCUAGUUUAUAUAGAACGAUAGUUUGUGGCUCUAUCAGAACAGUUAUUCUGUGUUUUUAUC
rnacentral:tRNA from 1 species